UACGUAGGGUGCGAGCGUUAAUCGGAAUUACUGGGCGUAAAGCGUGCGCAGGCGGUUAUGUAAGACAGAUGUGAAAUCCCCGGGCUCAACCUGGGAACUGCAUUUGUGACUGCAUAGCUAGAGUACGGUAGAGGGGGAUGGAAUUCCGCGUGUAUCAGUGAAAUGCGUAGAUAUGCGGAGGAACACCGAUGGCGAAGGCAAUCCCCUGGACCUGUACUGACGCUCAUGCACGAAAGCGUGGGGAGCAAACAGG
rnacentral:rRNA from 1 species